rnacentral:rRNA from 1 species
CACGUAGGGCGCGAGCGUGUCCGGAAUUAUUGGGCGUAAAGAGCUCGUAGGCGGCUUGUUCGCGUCUGCGUGAAAGUCCGGGGCUCAACUCCGGAUCUGCGGUGGGUACGGGCAGACUAGAGUGAUGUAGGGGAGACUGGAAUUCCUGGUGUAGCGGUGAAAUGCGCAGAUAUCAGGAGGAACACCGAUGGCGAAGGCAGGUCUCUGGGCCGAUACUGACGCUGAGGAGCGAAAGCAUGGGUAGCGAACAGG